rnacentral:rRNA from 2 species
AUGACUCUCGGCAACGGAUAUCUCGGCUCUCGCAUCGAUGAAGAACGCAGCGAAAUGCGAUACUUGGUGUGAAUUGCAGAAUCCCGCGAACCAUCGAGUUUUUGAACGCAAGUUGCGCCCAAAGCCAUUCGGCCGAGGGCACGUCUGCCUGGGUGUCACGCAACAU